UAAGCCUCUACUAAGGUUUGCCUUCCUUUC
rnacentral:piRNA from 1 species